rnacentral:rRNA from 1 species
UACAUAUUAUAUUAUUUAACUAAAUUGUUAGAUUAAUUGUUAGAUUAAUAACUGUGUUUUGCUGGGGCGGCAAAAAUAUAACUGUAACUGUUUAGAAUAUAAAAUAUUUAUUAAUAAAAUGAUGGUCCUUUAUUAAGGAGUUAAGAUUAAGUUACUUUAGGGAUAACAGCAUAAUUUCUUUAGAGAGUUCUUAUCGAAGAAGUUAGUUGUGACCUCGAUGUUGAAUUAGAUUUUCCUUUAGGUGCAGGAGUUUAAAAGGAGAGGCCUGUUCGGCCUAUAAACAUUUACAUGAUUUGAGUUCAAACCG